AUUUUGAGAUAAAAUAUUUUCUCAUACUGAACAUUAGGAAUAACUCAUAUGAACGGCAGAAAGAGUUUUGUACAGAUUAAUCAAAAUUCUUGUGAAUAUCGACUACAGAGUUAGCAUUCACAUGGAAGCUUUGUUGUGGUUGAUGAAAAAGGGAGAGAGGAAGCUAUUGAGGCCAUAAUAGUCAGAUAGGGUCUUUUCUAUGAACAAGUUCUUCUACUACAGAAAUCUCCAGAAUGGUAGUUAUUUGCUUAACGUAUUCAAUUACUGAGGAAGAAGAACUAGUUAGGAUCUGAUGCGUGGCUGUGUAAAGGUCUCUCUUGUUCCCGUAGAAGAGAUACUGAUGAUCGCCCGUCCAGGAGACAUUGAGGGCUUUGCGGGAAGCUUCAUAUCCUAGCGAAGAAAUUCACGGGUUAACAUCUAAACAAUGAAGGGACAUGGGAUGGCAAUGAAAAGACCCAUCUACAGACUUC